AACGAACGCUGGCGGCAGGCCUAACACAUGCAAGUCGAACGCCCCGCAAGGGGAGUGGCAGACGGGUGAGUAACGCGUGGGAACCUACCCAGUGGUACGGAACAACCCAGGGAAACUUGGGCUAAUACCGUAUACGCCCCCAGGGGGAAAGAUUUAUCGCCAUUGGACGGGCCCGUGUUGGAUUAGCUAGUUGGUGGGGUAAUGGCCUACCAAGGCAACGAUCCAUAGCUGGUCUGAGAGGAUGAUCAGCCACACUGGGACUGAGACACGGCCCAGACUCCUACGGGAGGCAGCAGUGGGGAAUCUUGGACAAUGGGCGCAAGCCUGAUCCAGCCAUGCCGCGUGGGUGAAGAAGGCCCUAGGGUUGUAAAGCUCUUUCGGCGGGGACGAUAAUGACGGUACCCGCAGAAGAAGCCCCGGCUAACUCCGUGCCAGCCGCCGCCGUAAAAC
rnacentral:rRNA from 1 species